AGCGUUGUGCGGAUUUAUUGGGCGUAAAGAGCGUGUAGGCGGCCAGGUAGGUCUGCUGUGAAAACUCGAGGCUUAACCUCGAGCUGUCGGCGGAAACCAUCUGGCUAGAGUCCGGAAGAGGAGAAUGGAAUUCCCGGUGUAGCGGUGAAAUGCGCAGAUAUCGGGAAGAACACCCGUGGCGAAGGCGGUUCUCUGGGACGGUACUGACGCUGAGACGCGAAAGCGUGGGGAGCGAACAGG
rnacentral:rRNA from 1 species